rnacentral:rRNA from 1 species
UAAUACGGAGGGUGCGAGCGUUGUUCGGAAUCACUGGGCGUAAAGCGCGUGUAGGCGGCCCACUAAGUCUGAUGUGAAAGCCCGGGGCUCACCCCCGGAAGUGCAUUGGAAACUGGUGGACUCGAGUCCCGGAGAGGAGAGUGGAAUUCCUGGUGUAGCGGUGAAAUGCGUAGAUAUCAGGAGGAACACCGGUGGCGAAGGCGGCUCUCUGGACGGUGACUGACGCUGAGACGCGAAAGCGUGGGGAGCAAACAGGAUUAGAUACCCUGGUAGUCCACGCCGUAAACGAUGAGCACUAGGUGUCGCGGGUAUUGACCCCUGCGGUGCCGACGCUAACGCAUUAAGUGCUCCGCCUGGGGAAUACGGCCGCAAGGUUA